rnacentral:rRNA from 1 species
UACGUAGGUGCAAGCGUUGUCCGGAAUUAUUGGGCGUAAAGAGCUCGUAGGCGGUUUGUCGCGUCGACUGUGAAAACCCGAGGCUUAACCUCGGGCCUGCAGUCGAUACGGGCAGACUAGAGGUAUGCAGGGGAGAACGGAAUUCCUGGUGUAGCGGUGAAAUGCGCAGAUAUCAGGAGGAACACCGGUGGCGAAGGCGGUUCUCUGGGCAUUACCUGACGCUGAGGAGCGAAAGUGUGGGGAGCGAACAGG